rnacentral:tRNA from 3 species
GCAGUUGUGGCGGAAUUGGCAUACGCGCUAGACUAAGGAUCUAGUCCAUAUUAUUUGGGUAGGGGUUCAAGUCCCCUUGACUGCACUA